CAGUUAUCGACUUUAUGACAUGCACGGGAAUAAAAUUCCGCCGCAGUUGGUCACUCAAGUUGGAGAUGCAUUCAUGAGAAUUCUCCAAGAGAUUCUCGAGGUCUUGAGCCAAAAUGGCUGGUACUAUGUCUCUUGCACUCGCUGCAGCAAAAAACUAGACAGAUCUGCCGCAUCUCUCCGCUGCAACCAAUGUGUUAAUCACAAUGUCACCAAUGUAGUAAAGUACCAUGUUGAAUUAUUGGUUGAUGAUGGGAAUAACUAUGCCACUUUUGUUGUGUUCGACAAGGAGAUGCUUAAGCUCGCUAAGCAAGAUGCAGCUGCUCUUCUUCUUGAUGAGGUUUUUAUUUCUUCCCACCAACAUCUCUCAACACUCUAACAAUCACUCAAACCUCUAACUACUGCAGGUUAAUAGUGGUGUCGACAAGAAACUCAAGGCAGAACUUGGAGGGACAGAUUUAGAUUUCCAUAUACGUGUCACUCCACACAAUUUCUCCCCAGACCACUGCACCUUCACCGUUUCCGCAGCCAGUGACAGUUUUAACACCGAGAGUUGCAACAUCAAUGAAACACCAUUUGUUGAAGGGAAGUGUGGGGACGCAUCCACUUCCGCUUCUGCCAGCAACACAUCUACGGCUGAUGUGAAAGGUGGACGCAUACACCCCCAUGAAUGAGAGUUUUUAAGCAAUGAAAACGUGAACCCAAACUCUGCUUGCGUUUCUUUAUAAUUUCUUAUAUUACUAUGCAUAUCCUAUUUCAUACUUUCCAGUUUUUCCUUAUUUUCAUGUUUUUUCAAAGCCAUUUACGGCUACAGACCUUA